rnacentral:lncRNA from 1 species
UGCAUGUUUAGUGAAUUUCAAGUCUGAAGCGUAGGACAACUCGUACACUUCUGUUUCAAAUUUGACAAUAUUUUGUUAUUUGUUUUUACUGUUGAAAUUAGUUGUUAUGUUAAAAUAGAUAAUUAUACACCUUGAGCGAUGUAUUAUUGUUGACCAUUCGAGAUUCUUUUUUUGCGAACCCGUCUUCAGCGUAAUGUGUGAUUUUGAAAUAACUACGCGGGCCUCAAGGGAUUACAAAUUAAAUAUUAAUUAAAUUAAUUAAUUAAAUAUGUUAGUUUUUGUGUCUUUCAAAACACAAACAAUAAACAGAAUUAAUUGCAGGAUAAAGACAAUAACUGUUUAGUGUCUUUAAAUAUCAGCUGUAUUUGUACUCGGCUCGAAACAGGUGUAGUAGCUCGCUAAAAGCUCGCAUACCCCUUGUUUCCUAGCCUCGUACAAAUACAGCUGAUAUUUAAAGAAACUAAACAGUUAUUGUCUAUUUAUCCUGCAAUUGGGUGUUCUACUAUACAGAUACAGCCCUACAGAUAUCGCUAUGCUGUAUCUGUAUACUAUACAGAUAUUGCUUUAAAGCCCCGCCCACUGCCGGACUGAGUAUUGUAUGAACCUGC